rnacentral:rRNA from 1 species
GACGAACGCUGGCGGCGUGCUUAACACAUGCAAGUCGAACGGAAAGGCCCUGCUUUUGUGGGGUGCUCGAGUGGCGAACGGGUGAGUAACACGUGAGUAACCUGCCCUUGACUUUGGGAUAACUUCAGGAAACUGGGGCUAAUACCGGAUAGGAGCUCCUGCUGCAUGGUGGGGGUUGGAAAGUUUCGGCGGUUGGGGAUGGACUGGCGGCUUAUCAGCUUGUUGGUGGGGUAGUGGCUUACCAAGGCUUUGACGGGUAGCCGGCCUGAGAGGGUGACCGGCCACAUUGGGACUGAGAUACGGCCCAGACUCCUACGGGAGGCAGCAGUGGGGAAUAUUGCACAAUGGGCGGAAGCCUGAUGAAGCAACGCCGCGUGCGGGAUGACGGCCUUCGGGUUGUAAACCGCUUUCGCCUGUGACGAAGCGUGAGUGACGGUAAUGGGUAAAGAAGCACCGGCUAACUACGUG